GCGGGUAUACCUCAGCAGUAGAGUGUGUACUUAACACGCACAACGUCCUGGGUUCAAUCCCCAGUACCUCCA
rfam:Camelus ferus unplaced genomic scaffold scaffold381, whole genome shotgun sequence.